rnacentral:rRNA from 1 species
UACGAAGGGGGCUAGCGUUGCUCGGAAUUACUGGGCGUAAAGGGCGCGUAGGCGGCCUGUUAAGUCGGACGUGAAAUCCCUCGGCUCAACCGGGGAACUGCGUCCGAUACUGGCGGGCUUGAAUUCGGGAGAGGGAUGUGGAAUUCCAGGUGUAGCGGUGAAAUGCGUAGAUAUCUGGAGGAACACCGGUGGCGAAGGCGGCAUCCUGGACCGACAUUGGCGCUGAGGCGCGAAAGCCAGGGGAGCAAACGGG